AUUGAACGCUGGCGGCAGGCUUAACACAUGCAAGUCGAGCGAGCCGCGGACGUGUUAGCUAUGUCUCGGCCACUGCCUGAUGGAUGGGGAUAACUACUGGGAACUGUAGCUACUACCGCCUACCAUCACCUGUGCCCAGUUGGGAUUGGCUAGUGGGUGGGGUAAAGGAUCACCUAGGCGACGAUCCCUAGCUGGUCUGAGAGGAGGACCAGUCACACUGGAACGGAGACACGGUCCAGACUCCUACGGGAGGAAGCAGUGGGGAAUAUUGCACAAUGGGCGAAAGCCUGAUGCAGCCAUGCCGCGUGUGUGAAGAAGGCCUUCGGGUUGUAAAGCACUUUCAGCGAGGAGGCGUUACCCGCAGAAGAAGCACCGGCUAACUCCGUGCCAGCAGCCGCGGUAAUAC
rnacentral:rRNA from 1 species